rnacentral:snRNA from 1 species
GGAUGUGAGGGCGAUCUGGCUGCGACAUCUGUCACCCCCUUGACCACCAGGGUUGAUUCAACUGAUCUGGCUGGCUAGGUGGGUGUCCCCUUCCUCCCUCAUCACUUCAUGUGAGGCCUUCCCCAAUGGCCUUCAUCUUCGGUGGAGGGUGUAAGAGUAGCUGUGCUCCUCUGCUAGAACCUCCAAACAAGCUCUCAAGAAAUAAUCUGAAAAUGCAUUUUAAAUGCUUAUUUAUUUGUUUUUUAAAUAUUUACUUAUUU